rnacentral:sRNA from 1 species
CCACAAAAUCUCGUGCCGAUCGGAAAACAGACGAGACCACGAUCUCAGUUUCAAUCUCCGCUGGUCCUAAUUCGCGUCUGAGAAAACGUGUCUCACGAAACUGCGAAUAACUCAACCAAUUUG